rnacentral:rRNA from 1 species
UGCCAGCAGCCGCGGUAAUACGGAGGAUGCAAGCGUUAUCGGAAUUACUGGGCGUAAAGCGCGCGUAGGUGGUCUGUUAAGUCGGAUGUGAAAGCCCCGGGCUCAACCUGGGAACUGCAUUCGAUACUGGCAGACUAGAGUGCGGGAGAGGGAGGUAGAAUUCCAUGUGUAGCGGUGGAAUGCGUAGAUAUGUGGAGGAAUACCAGUGGCGAAGGCGGCCUCCUGGCUCGACACUGACACUGAGGCGCCAAAGCGUGGGGAUCAAACCGGAUUAGAUA